CUGGUAAAUCAUCCUGAUAAUCUGAAGGUCUCUAAAAUACAGUGAUCUGAGAAACUGCUGACUCCAGCAGUCUCCAAGGGAAUGUUGUUAGUGAUGUCUGGGAUGGAUUUUUUGCAGGCACUUUGACGUUUUGUGUAGAUUAAGGUACAAGAGAAUAAGUCAUACUUCUGCCUUUUAUGCCACAGAGUCCAAUAAAUUCACAAGCAAGGUAAGGCUGUAAAUCCUUCAGGGUGUGUGUGUGUGUGUGUGUGUGUGUUUGGAGGAGGUAGCAUCUCUGGCAUUAUUUUAACCAGAAACCAUAGUUAAGUGGAGUCUUGAAACUAUUUUGAUGUUCAUGUCAAAUAUCACUGAGGCCACUUCUUAAAACAGGUUAGCUUUCCACAGUUUUCUUGCUUAAUUACUUACUUCCUUCCUUCCUUCCUGGCUGUCUGCAGGAUGAAACUGAAGACGAACCCUUGUUUCACCCUGAGUACAGUCACUGUCCCACCUCCCUGUGUAGCACUGCCUUUGGAUGGAGACAACAAGGACCUCUCUUCUGGGCCCCAUGCUUUAGAAGCUCUCAGUUCUGACGCAUCAUGAUCCCUCACCCUGAACCUCCACUCCUGUGAGCAUUCAAGUCCCAGGAAAAUGCUUCUCCACGUCUCUUACCCUGGAUCCUCAAAAAAGAGAGGCAGUUUCUGGCACAGCAUCAGCUGCGGUCCUGAGAAAGUCACUGCUUUAAAGGGGUACCUGGCUCUUAGAGGCUUUAAGAGAAAAGCAUCUUCCUUCCGUGACUUCUCAGGGAAGUGCCAGCAAGAAAGAGAGAUCCAUCCCUGCGACUGUCUUCCUUUCUAUGAAGAGUUCUGGCCAGUUACCUCCUGUUCACCUUUGUGUGGUGCAUAAUUUUCAAAGUCGUUCAAAAAUAAAUAAAAAGAAAAAAAACCAAAAACAAACAAAACAAAAAGAGCCCUUUAGUUACCUAAGCAACAUUGCUUUUUACACCUUUAUUGUUAUAAACCCAGACUGUCUGGUUCUGGAACCAUUCUGUGAAUACACUAGCUUAAAUUUCCCUCUUCUGCUUUACCCUCAGGCCAUAGCUUUCACUCUUUUCCAAAAUAAGCUUUCCCAAAGUGGUUUCCUCUUCUGCCUCCACUUCCUCAUCUUCCAUCACUUCUCACUCCCUUGCUGCCAUCCGCCUGCUGCCUCCUCAGCCGAAGUGCUUUAGUUCCAGUCAAGAAGGGCUAUCUCUCCCUCAGACCCCUGGCUGUUCUGCAUCCUCCCUCCACUCUCUGUGGAGUAUGUGCCCCAUCAGUAGGGCCAUGUCCCUAAAUGUCCCCUCUUGGCUUCCACAGCUAUUCCAAAUUGUGGUUCUCAGCCUUUAUUUCUGAUUAGUCUUCUAUCUUUUCUUGCUUGGAUGGUUUUCCUAUCAUGGUCCCCAGAUUUAGAGCUUCUCAGGAGUCUGGGGUGGGCACCUGCCAUUGGGUACAUGCAGCUUUUGGAACAUUUCUUACAUUCAUUGAUACUUUAUAUUACUGUUAUAUAUUCAAAUAUGGUGUUUCCUCUAGUAGAAUAUAGACAUCUUAAUUGCAAAGAGCAGGCCUUAUUGAACUCUGGAUUCUUUUCAGAUCCAUUUCAAGUAACAAGUUGUACAAAGAACACAGACUUCCACAGCCAGAUCUUCUCAAUACCCUAAGGUUUCCAAUAUUAAAUAGAAGAGUGGUUCUCAAGCAAGGGAGAUUGCCCUUCAGGGAACAUUUGACAAAUCUGGAGCUUUUAAAAAAAUUUUAUAGCUAGGGAGGGCAUGCUUCAGGCUACUAAGGGUUAGAGGCCAUGGAUAUUGCUAACUACCCUACAGCAUAGAGAGCAAUCCCCACCAAAAAAGAAUUAUAUGGCCCAAAAUAAGCAGUGCUGAGGUUGAGAAACUGACUUACAGUGACUAUCUUAUUGCAAUCUCCCUCAGCAGUUCAGAGGUUAAUGGGAAUAAGAGUUGAGUUGUGGCUAAGUGGUACUUAAACAGUUGCAUUUUGUCAAUCUCUAGUCACACUUGCUUAACCACUUAAUGACUGAAAGUCAUAAGGUUUGCUGUACCCAUCUACUCAUCUCAACCUAGCAACAGGCGGGUCCCAUACUGGCCUUCUCUAAGGUCUUUGUUCUGACCCUCUGUCCUCACCGAGUCCACAACAGGGCCCCUCACUUUCAGUUCUUGGAUAUGUCUCUAAAGCACAAUUAACAGCCAUAGCAUCAAGACUAUCUGUGCAUGAGUGGGAAUCUGUAUCUUUAACAAGCAUGUCACAUAUUCAAAAGCAUGUCAUGCUCAUGUCUGACAAUCAUUAGUUAUGGGAAACUGUAAGUUAGUGGCUAGAAGCUAAGAGACCCUAGGUUGAAUGGCAGUUAUGCUCCUGGACAUCGUGAGUCUUUGCUAAUUCUCACUCAGUUUUCUGGUCUGUAAAAUAGGGAUAUUAAUAAAACACACCUCAUGGGGUUGUGAAAACUAAAUGAAAUAAGGCAAGCAAAGUGUUUAGCAGCUAAUAAUCACUUAGCAAAUAUGAGGUGAUGUUAGUAAAACAACUUCAGAUGCUUUAUGGUUCAGAAAAAGAGACAGAAGCCAGGAGGCUCUUCUAAUAUCAGGAGAUUAUGGAUUGUCAUCAAAUUAAUAACCUACUUUCUCUAAGUACUCCAUCAAUCCUUCCUGUGUUGAAUUGAACUGAACUGAUUUCGGUAGGUUGUACCUUUAUCCCAUCAUUUGUAACUGAGCAACAAUUCAAAUAGAACAAUACAGUGUUUGAAAGGAGUAAUUCAUGGGGCUUUAAAGCAGUGAGGAAAGGAAAUAGGAGAAUAUGGUACAUAGAAUACAAGAUGCACUGCUGGGAGGCAUGUCUUGGAUAUCUUCUAUUUCUACAUUAGCUUGUGUCUCAAGAGUCCAGAGCAUCUCGCUAAUCUGAUGACUCUCCAUAACAUCCUGGUAUUAUCAUUUCAAUUUUUUGAAACCUGAGCAAACUGAACUGCAGAAAAAUUGAGUGAAUUGCUCAAGGUCACACAGAAGUCAAGCCCAGAAUAGAACUGAUGUCUGCUGGUUUCCCGUUCAGCCAUGACCCUUCCCAGUACACCUUGUUUGAAGCAGUCUGGUGAGGGUGGCUAAUGGAUUUGAUAUUCUUGAACCAUUAAUAUUUUUUCCAACUAAUGUUCUUGGCAGACUUGUUUAUUUUCCAGAGUGAGAGAUAUUUCUGAAAACAGAGUCUGUGAACAAAUUUGAUUAUCAGUCUAAAAGAACAGUAGUUGAAAAACAGUCAAUGAAUUUUAACCUAAAAAGGUGGCUUUGAGGACCAUAAUCAAAGAGGAAUGUUUCAAAUCAAUAUCAACAAUCUUGAAAAAUGGGAAGAUUGAAGGAAAAAUAUUGAAUAUCAAGGUAAGAGUUUUGCAAGGGAUUGAAAAACCUGGAUUUAGAGUAAGAGCAAGGCCUUUAGCAAUGAGCUUGAAUUCCUGCCAAGUAAUGCAGUGCGCCUUGGCAUCCUUCCCUGACCCCACAAUCCUGGGCAUUGGCUUAUAUCUCAUGCUGCAGCCAACUCAUUUCCUCUAGCCCAAUCGAUGUCUUUCUAAUAGCUGAGCAUCCUGCUCUGAAUCACUUGCAAACCACUAAUAUACACUUUCACUGUUUAUUUUCUGACUUGAGACAGAGAAGAGCAAGGUCAGUUGCUUCUUUCAAUGAUUUCUCUUAAAAUAAAAACUUUCACUGCAGUCUUUUGAACUUUUGAAAACCAAUGCCCAACAUACAGCCACCUUAGCAAAUCUGGUUACUCAUGAUUCCAUAGUUUUUCUAUAACUUUAUUAUCUUUAUCUAUGUCUAUCUGUAUCAUAUAUAUAAAUGCAUCAGAAUUAUUUAAUGGUUUUGUGCUUUUAUGUCUGACAAAUACAGUGUCUUGUGCUUCAUACACACUCAAUUAACACUGUGGAAGAAGAAUUUUAAAAAUACAUAAAGUUAAUGAAUGGUCCCUUUAUAAUUAGGAGCUUAUUUUUGUGCCAGGUAGAACCCUCCUAUUAUAAGAAUAAGCAUAUAUUGAUCAUGUGAUGGUGAGGAAAAAAGUCACUGGUGGGGAAGGUGCAUGUCCAGGAGCUGUAGAAAUAUGAU